AAAAUACACACUUUUCGCUCUGCCGGGUGGCUUGAAGUCCCUGUCGUACUGCAGAGCAGCAUUUAUGCGUUGUUCGUUAACAGUUUCUUUGUGAACUUCACAAUAGUUGUGCAGAACAAAAUAAGUAUAGAUAACAAAAGGAAAGCCCAUCGUUUUAUGUCCAUCGCCCUC